AUACGGAGGGGGUUAGCGUUGUUCGGAAUUACUGGGCGUAAAGCGCACGUAGGCGGACUGGAAAGUUGGGGGUGAAAUCCCGGGGCUCACCCCCGGAACUGCCUCCAAAACUUCCAAUCUAGAGAUCGAGAGAGGUGAGUGGAAUUCCAAGUGUAGAGGUGAAAUUCGUAGAUAUUUGGAGGAACACCAGUGGCGAAGGCGGCUCACUGGCUCGAUACUGACGCUGAGGUGCGAAAGCGUGGGGAGCAAACAGGAUUAGAAACCCGAGUAGUCC
rnacentral:rRNA from 1 species